rnacentral:rRNA from 1 species
GAGUUUGAUCCUGGCUCAGGAUGAACGCUAGCGGCAGGCCUAAUACAUGCAAGUCGAACGGCAAGCACGGUGUAGCAAUACAUUGGUGGCGAGUGGCGCACGGGUGCAGUAACACGUAUGUAAUUUGCCCAUAACUGGGAGAUAGCCUUCCGAAAGGAGAUUAAUACCCCAUAACCCAGCGAGGUGGCAUCACUUUUCUGGUAAAGCUCCGGCGGUUAUGGAUAAGCAUGCGUCCGAUUAGCUAGUUGGCGAGGUAAAAGCUCACCAAGGCAACGAUCGGUAGGGGGUCUGAGAGGAU